UACGGAGGGUGCAAGCGUUAUCCGGAUUCACUGGGUUUAAAGGGUGCGUAGGUGGGCUAGUAAGUCCGUGGUGAAAUCCCCGAGCUUAACUCGGGAACUGCCGUGGAUACUAUUAGUCUUGAAUAUCGUGGAGGUAAGCGGAAUAUGUCAUGUAGCGGUGAAAUGCUUAGAUAUGACAUAGAACACCGAUAGCGGAGGCAGCUUACUACGCGAUUAUUGACACUGAGGCACGAAAGCGUGGGGAGCGAACAGG
rnacentral:rRNA from 1 species